UAGAGUUUGAUCAUGGCUCAGGAUGAACGCUAGCGGCAGGCUUAAUACAUGCAAGGCGAGGGGGCAGCAAUGUCACCGUCGUACGGGUGCGUAACGCGUAUGCAACCUACCUAUCACUGGGGGAUAGCCCGGGGAAACCCGGAUUAAUACCGCAUAACACAGGGGUCCCGCAUGGGUACUAUUUGUUAAAGAUUUAUCGGUGGUAGAUGGGCAUGCGUUCGAUUAGCUAGUUGGGAGGGUAACGGCCUACCAAGGCGACGAUCGAUAGGGGAGCUGAGAGGUUGAUCCCCCACACGGGCACUGAGAUACGGGCCCGACUCCUACGGGAGGCAGCAGUAGGGAAUAUUGGGCAAUGGAUGCAAGUCUGACCCAGCCAUGCCGCGUGCCGGAUGAAGGCCCUCAGGGUUGUAAACGGCUUUUAUUCGGGAAGAAGAGUAGGGAUGCGUCCUUAUGUGACGGUACCGAAUGAAUAAGCACCGGCUAACUCCGUGCCAGCAGCCGCGGUAAUACGGAGGGUGCGAGCGUUGUCCGGAUUUAUUGGGUUUAAAGGGUGCGUAGGUGGCUUAAUAAGUCAGUGGUGAAAUACAGCCGCUCAACGGUUGAGGUGCCAUUGAUACUGUUAAGCUUGAAACAAGUGGAGGCUGCCGGAAUGGAUGGUGUAGCGGUGAAAUGCAUAGAUAUCAUCCAGAACACCGAUUGCGAAGGCAGGUGGCUACGUUUGAUUUGACACUGAGGCACGAAAGCAUGGGGAGCAAACAGGAUUAGAUACCCUGGUAGUCCAUGCCGUAAACGAUGAGGACUCGCUGUUGGCCUGUCAAGGGUCAGCGGCUUAGGGAAACCGUUAAGUCCUCCACCUGGGGAGUACGCCGGCAACGGUGAAACUCAAAGGAAUUGACGG
rnacentral:rRNA from 1 species